UACAGAGGGUGCGAGCGUUAAUCGGAAUUACUGGGCGUAAAGCGUGCGUAGACGGUUAUUUAAGUCGGGUGUGAAAGCCCCGGGCUCAACCUGGGAAUUGCAUUCGAGACUGAAUAGCUAGGGUACAGUAGAGGGAAGCGGAAUUUCCGGUGUAGCGGUGAAAUGCGUAGAUAUCGGAAGGAACAUCAGUGGCGAAAGCGGCUUCCUGGACCAGUACCGACGUUCAGGCACGAAAGCGUGGGGAGCAAACAGG
rnacentral:rRNA from 1 species